CUUUGUUUUUCUCUGUUUUGUUUUCUGUUAUUCUAA
rnacentral:sRNA from 1 species